UGGAUUAGUGGGAACGGGUGAGUAACACGUGGGCAAUCUGCCCUUCACUCUGGGACAAGCCCUUGGAAACGAGGUCUAAUACCGGAUAACACUUCCAUCCUCCUGGAUGGGGGUUAAAAGCUCCGGCGGUGAAGGAUGAGCCCGCGGCCUAUCAGCUUGUUGGUGAGGUAAUGGCUCACCAAGGCGACGACGGGUAGCCGGCCUGAGAGGGCGACCGGCCACACUGGGACUGAGACACGGCCCAGACUCCUACGGGAGGCAGCAGUGGGGAAUAUUGCACAAUGGGCGAAAGCCUGAUGCAGCGACGCCGCGUGAGGGAUGACGGCCUUCGGGUUGUAAACCUCUUUCAGCAGGGAAGAAGCGAAAGUGACGGUACCUGCAGAAGAAGCGCCGGCUAACUACGUGCCAGCAGCCGCGGUAAUACGUAGGGCGCAAGCGUUGUCCGGAAUUAUUGGGCGUAAAGAGCUCGUAGGCGGCUUGUCACGUCGAUUGUGAAAGCUCGGGGCUUAACCCCGAGUCUGCAGUCGAUACGGGCUAGCUAGAGUGUGGUAGGGGAGAUCGGAAUUCCUGGUGUAGCGGUGAAAUGCGCA
rnacentral:rRNA from 1 species